AUUGAACGCUGGCGGCAUGCCUUACACAUGCAAGUCGAACGGCAGCAUGGAGAGCUUGCUCUCUGAUGGCGAGUGGCGAACGGGUGAGUAAAGCAUCGGAACGUACCGUGUAGUGGGGGAUAACGUAGCGAAAGUUACGCUAAUACCGCAUACGCACUGAGGUGGAAAGCAGGGGAUCGUAAGACCUUGCGCUAUACGAGCGGCCGAUGUCGGAUUAGCUAGUUGGUAGGGUAAAGGCCUACCAAGGCGACGAUCUGUAGCGGGUCUGAGAGGAUGAUCCGCCACACUGGGACUGAGACACGGCCCAGACUCCUACGGGAGGCGGCAGUGGGGAAUUUUGGACAAUGGGGGCAACCCUGAUCCAGCCAUGCCGCGUGAGUGAAGAAGGCCUUCGGGUUGUAAAGCUCUUUCGGCCGGGAAGAAAUCGCACAGGCCAAUACCCUGUGUGGAUGACGGUACCGGCAUAAGAAGCACCGGCUAACUACGUGCCAGCCGCCGCAGUAA
rnacentral:rRNA from 1 species